AGGUUUCCCCAUUACUCUAUGCAUGUUAUUGCCCCUGAAGACCUUCCAGUGGGUCAAGAUGUAGAGGUGGAAGGCAGUGAUAUUGAUGAUCCUGA